rnacentral:misc_RNA from 1 species
CCUAGAGUUGUAGGCUUUGCCUGCUAUCUCUUACCCAUGUCUUUUGAGUACCUUACGUUUCCUCGGUGGGUUCGCCCACCGAUUGGACAAACUUAAACCCUUUGCAGUUGAAAUCAGCGUCUGAAAAACUUAAUAGUUA